rnacentral:rRNA from 1 species
CCGGGGGAAAGAUNUUAUCGGCGAAAGAUCGGCCCGCGUUAGAUUAGGUAGUUGGUGGGGUAAUGGCCUACCAAGCCUACGAUCUAUAGCUGGUCUGAGAGGAUGAUCAGCCACACUGGGACUGAGACACGGCCCAGACUCCUACGGGAGGCAGCAGUGGGGAAUCUUGCACAAUGGGCGAAAGCCUGAUGCAGCCAUGCCNCGUGAAUGAUGAAGGCCUUAGGGUUGUAAAAUUCUUUCGCCAGGGAUGAUAAUGACAGUACCUGGUAAAGAAGCCCCGGCUAACUUCGUGCCAGCAGCCGCGGUAAUACGAAGGGGGCUAGCGUUGUUCGGAAUUACUGGGCGUAAAGCGCACGUAGGCGGACUUUUAAGUCAGAUGUGAAAUCCCGGGGCUCAACCUCGGAACUGCAUUUGAAACUGGAAGUCUGGAGUUCAGG